rnacentral:rRNA from 1 species
GUGCCAGCAGCCGCGGUAAUACGAAGGGGGCUAGCGUUGCUCGGAAUUACUGGGCGUAAAGCGCACGUAGGCGGUCUUUUAAGUCGGGGGUGAAAUCCUGGAGCUCAACUCCAGAACUGCCUUCGAUACUGGAAGACUCGAGUCCGGGAGAGGUGAGUGGAACUGCGAGUGUAGAGGUGAAAUUCGUAGAUAUUCGCAAGAACACCAGUGGCGAAGGCGGUUCACUGGCCCGGUACUGACGCUGAGGUGCGAAAGCGUGGGGAGCAAACAGGAUUAGAUACCCCGGUAGUCC